GGGUGACGCAUGUGGAACGAGCGGCGGACGGGUGAGUAACACGUGGGCAACCUGCCUGUAAGACUGGGAUAACUCCGGGAAACCGGGGCUAAUACCGGAUAAUACGUUUUCUUGCAUAAGGAGACGUUAAAAGGCGGCGCAAGCUGUCACUUACAGAUGGGCCCGCGGCGCAUUAGCUAGUUGGUGGGGUAAAAGCCUACCAAGGCGACGAUGCGUAGCCGACCUGAGAGGGUGAUCGGCCACACUGGGACUGAGACACGGCCCAGACUCCUACGGGAGGCAGCAGUAGGGAAUCUUCCGCAAUGGACGAAAGUCUGACGGAGCAACGCCGCGUGAGUGAAGAAGGUUUUCGGAUUGUAAAACUCUGUUGUUAGGGAAGAACAAGUGCCGUUCAAAUAGGGCGGCACCUUGACGGUACCUAACCAGAAAGCCCCGGCUAACUACGUGCCAGCAGCCGCGGUAAUACGUAGGGGGCAAGCGUUGUCCGGAAUUAUUGGGCGUAAAGCGCGCGCAGGCGGUCUUUUAAGUCUGAUGUGAAAGCCCACGGCUUAACCGUGGAGGGCCAUUGGAAACUGGAGGACUUGAGUACAGAAGAGGAGAGUGGAAUUCCACGUGUAGCGGUGAAAUGCGUAGAGAUGUGGAGGAACACCAGUGGCGAAGGCGACUCUCUGGUCUGUAACUGACGCUGAGGUGCGAAAGCGUGGGUAGCGAACAGGAUUAGAUACCCUGGUAGUCCACGCCGUAAACGAUGAGUGCUAGGUGUUAAGGGGGUUUCCGCCCCUUAGUGCUGCAGUUAACGCAUUAAGCACUCCGCCUGGGGAGUACGGCCGCAAGGCUGAAACUCAAAAGAAUUGACGGGGACCCGCACAAGCGGUGGAGCAUGUGGUUUAAUUCGAAGCAACGCGAAGAACCUUACCAGGUCUUGACAUCCUCUGACGGCCCUAGAGAUAGGGAGUUCCCUUCGGGGACAGAGUGACAGGUGGUGCAAUGGUUGUCGUCAGCUCGUGUCGUGAGAUGUUUGGGUUAAUUCCCGCAACGAGCGCAACCCUUGAUCUUAGUUGCCAGCAUUCAGUUGGGCACUCUAAGGUGACUGCCGGUGACAAACCGGAGGAAGGUGGGGAUGACGUCAAAUCAUCAUGCCCCUUAUGACCUGGGCUACACACGUGCUACAAUGGAUGGAACAAAGGGCAGCGAAGCCGUGAGGCCAAGCAAAUCCCACAAAACCAUUCUCAGUUCGGAUUGCAGGCUGCAACUCGCCUGCAUGAAGCCGGAAUCGCUAGUAAUCGCGGAUCAGCAUGCCGCGGUGAAUACGUNCCCGGGUCUUGUACACACCGCCCGUCACACCACGAGAGUUGGUAACACCCGAAGUCGGUGA
rnacentral:rRNA from 1 species